UACGUAGGGGGCGAGCGUUGUCCGGAUUCAUUGGGCGUAAAGAGCUCGUAGGCGGUUCAGUAAGUCGGGUGUGAAAGCUCCGAGCUCAACUCGGAGAGGCCACCCGAUACUGCUGUGACUUGAGUCCAGUAGAGGAGCGUGGAACUCCUGGUGUAGCGGUGAAAUGCGCAGAUAUCAGGAAGAACACCUGCAGCGAAGGCGGCGCUCUGGGCUGGAACUGACGCUGAGGAGCGAAAGCGUGGGUA
rnacentral:rRNA from 1 species